GAACAAGACUAGGAAGUACAAAGAAUUGCUAAUUCUCGAAACCAUAGUUCAACUCUAUGGCUUGAUCA
rnacentral:tRNA from 2 species